UCGCAAUUCUCAGGAAACGGUUCCGCUGUUCAGGCGGAUGAAAAGGGAACACGGUGAAGCCAUCCUGGUUGAUGCCGCGACUGCCCCCGCAACUGUAACCGGAGAGCUAUCCUCCACAGCCGUGCAAGCGGUAAAAGCCACUGAGAGCAGUCGAUGCACUCGGGAAGGCGGAGGGAAAGCGACGACCCGGAAGUCAGGAGACCUGCCGUAUCCGGUCACCCAUG
rfam:Elaeophora elaphi genomic scaffold, EEL_scaffold_00001_1479205